GCUUAAAUAGUUUACUUUAGAAUGAUAAUUUGUGGAAUUAUAGGUGUAUUAUAUACUUUAAGUU
rnacentral:tRNA from 1 species